ACGCGUGGAACCUUACCAGGUCUUGACAUCCUUCGCUACUUCUAGAGAUAGAAGGUUCCCCUUCGGGGGACGAAGUGACAGGUGGUGCAUGGUUGUCGUCAGCUCGUGUCGUGAGAUGUUGGGUUAAGUCCCGCAGCGAGCGCAACCCUUGAUCUUAGUUGCCAGCAUUCAGUUGGGCACUCUAAGGUGACUGCCGGUGACAAACCGGAGGAAGGUGGGGAUGACGUCAAAUCAUCAUGCCCCUUAUGACCUGGGCUACACACGUGCUACAAUGGAUGGUACAAAGGGCUGCAAGACUGCGAAGUCAAGCGAAUCCCAUAAAACCAUUCUCAGUUCGGAUUGUAGGCUGCAACUCGCCUACAUGAAGCCGGAAUCGCUAGUAAUCGCGGAUCAGCAUGCCGCGGUGAAUACGUUCCCGGGCCUUGCACACACCGCCCGU
rnacentral:rRNA from 1 species